AUGUAUAGUUUCCUAAACAACAGCGGCCUUCUGGUACAUUUUUCGCUAUUCCCUCUUUCUUCUCCUUUGCUUUCACAUAAAACAUCCUUCCACAAAAUCGCUAUGCUACAAAACAACAUACCACCUUCUUAUUUAUCAUACUGUAUCAUUGCCUGUCCAGGAUGGGCCAAAAAUUAUCUCCACACCCUAGGACUGAGACAACUUGCCAUGUUUCUUAUCAGACAAUUAAAAUAUUCAUACCACCACAAGGCUGCCACUCCUGUCUCUUCUCCCAAUAACCAUUCCCAUCUCUAUACAGAGAAGAAGUCAAUGGCAAGACUCCACCUGGCACAGAAGGGCCACAAUUUUCUGGGCUCUAUCCUCUGUGAAACAGGAGCAAAUUUUUCACAUGACUGAUUAAGAAUGAUUGACUGGCAAUUCCUAACUUAAGGUAGUAUUACCCAUUUGUGUUACAACGAGAAGAUAAGGCUGUACCAGAUACUACUCAAGUCCAAGUGCUUGACCUGGUUCCUAUCCCACACACAGGAUGAGAAUUAUUAUAGCGAUGAUAUUCAGAGGUCCCUGACUAACUAAUAUAUAUAUAUCAGGUUGUUAUAGCUCUGUUACUUAACUCUGCUGUGUUAAAAGGAAGUUUCUAGAAGGGAUACCAUUUUAAUAUGAAAUAGACAAGAUAUUUCUAUUUAUAGGCUUUGUGAUAUCUGUGUAAAACUAUACAUCAACAGAAGUGGAGAUUGGCACAAAAGCUAGUAAGCUCCCUUUAUUAUGCCAAGUAAUUAUGGCAAUAUCAAACACGUGUAAAGCAUGAAUUUGUCCAAUUUUCUGUACUUCCUAUUUAUA
rnacentral:lncRNA from 1 species